GUCCAGGGAUGGGAAUCGAACCCACAGUGUUCGGCUUACCGGGCAGAUGCCAUGUCCACUAGGCUACCCUGGA
rnacentral:tRNA from 1 species